rnacentral:rRNA from 1 species
CUAGUAAUCGCGGAUCAGCACGCCGCGGUGAAUACGUUCCCGGGCCUUGUACACACCGCCCGUCACACCAUGGAAGUCUGCAAUGCCCGAAGCCGGUGGCCUAACCACUUAUGUGGAAGGAGCUGUCUAAGGCAGGGCAGAUGACUGGGGUGAAGUCGUAACAAGGUAAC